GAGUGAAUGGAGGGUAGGGGGAUGGGGAAAAAAUAAGAACCAAGAUACCUCAUGUAAAGGUACAAGAUCCCAAUGAUGAGUGUAACUGUACUGUAUACCUAAAAAGUACCAAUAAACUUAAUGAAAAAAAUAUUUAGGGAAUGAAAAAUUUUAAAAUGUCACUUAAAUAUUCCUAUAGGAUGCUAGUGAGCAAAAGACAGAACUUGAGAGACUAAAGCAUAAAAUAGCAGAAGAAGUUCAUAAAAUUGAAGAAAGAAAAAAUAAAAUUGAUGAUGAGUUAAAAGAAGUACAGCCUUUAGUUAAUGAAGCUAAACUUGCAGUGGGAAACAUUAAGCCAGAAUCUCUUUCAGAAAUUCGCUCACUACGUAUGCCACCUGAUAUAAUCCGAGACAUUCUGGAAGGAGUUUUAAGGUUGAUGGGCAUUUUUGAUACCUCUUGGGUGAGCAUGAAAAGUUUCCUUGCUAAAAGAGGUAUCAGAGAAGACAUUGCAACCUUUGAUGCACGAAAUAUUCCAAAGGAAAUAAGAGAGAGUGUUGAAGAACUUCUUUUCAAAAAUAAAGGUUCUUUUGAUCCAAAGGUAAAUUUUAACAGUUGUACCAUAAUUUUCUUUUCUUUACUACAUAAUUUUCUGCUUUUUAGUAUGUGAAGCUGAUUCAUUAUCAGUUGUUAAAAAUUACCACCAAAAAGCUUACAGGUUUUAUAGUUG
rnacentral:lncRNA from 1 species